rnacentral:rRNA from 1 species
UGAAACAAGGGAAAACGUUGGCAGCAGUAAAGAAUUUUAUGCAAUAUACGAAAGUAAGACAUAGGCAGAACCUUUUAACCUGUCAAAUUAAGUGCCAGCAGACGCGGUGAAACUUAAGGGUUUGUUUUUUAGAAAAAGCAGAAAGCGUGUAAAGGUAAAACAUUUAAAAUAAAUAGAAUUUUUUUAGUAAUAGUGCAAUAUUAAAAGAAAAAAAAGAAUUUUUUAUGUGAAGACAAUUUAUUUUUUUUUUCUUUAACACGAAGGUUCUGGGAGCAAACAGGAUUAGAGACCCUGGUAGUCGAUACAGUAAAAGAAAGUCGCUUGAGUAGUACGGUCGCAAGAUUAAAAUUCAAAAAACUUGGCUGUUCAUUGUUAUUUAGAGGAGCGCGUUGCUUAAUUCGAUAGCCCGCGAGUUACCUUACCAAAACUAGCUUUUUCAGGUGUUGCAUGGCCGUCGUCAAUUUAUGUUUGAUACAAUAGAUUAAACCCUAGAAAGGUUGAAGUCAGGUAUUAUUGCCUUUAUGUUUUGGGGUUAGAUGCGCUACAUUUUUUUUUUAAUAAAAAAAAAGAGUUCGGAUUGUCUUUAAAAGAGGAUGAUGAAGGGGGAUUUAAUAGUAAUUGAAAAGUAGAGCGUUUCAAUGAAUUUGCCGCAAUGUUAGUACAAAUUGCCCGUCGCCUCUGCUGAUGGAAACAAAGUA